AGCAGUAGCCGCGGUAAUACGUAGGUGGCGAGCGUUGUCCGGAAUUAUUGGGCGUAAAGGGCUCGCAGGCGGUUUCUUAAGUCUGAUGUGAAAGCCCCCGGCUCAACCGGGGAGGGUCAUUGGAAACUGGGAAACUUGAGUGCAGAAGAGGAGAGUGGAAUUCCACGUGUAGCGGUGAAAUGCGUAGAGAUGUGGAGGAACACCAGUGGCGAAGGCGACUCUCUGGUCUGUAACUGACGCUGAGGAGCGAAAGCGUGGGGAGCGAACAGGAUUAGAUACCCCCGUAGUCCCUGUCUCUUAUAC
rnacentral:rRNA from 1 species